rnacentral:rRNA from 1 species
GAUGAACGCUGGCGGCGUGCCUAAUACAUCCAAGUCGAGCGAACAGACGAGGAGCUUGCUCCUUUGACGUUAGCGGCGGACGGGUGAGUAACACGUAGGUAACCUACCUAUAAGACUGGGAUAACUUCGGGAAACCGGAGCUAAUACCGGAUAAUAUUUCGAACCGCAUGGUUCGAUAGUGAAAGAUGGCUUUGCUAUCACUUAUAGAUGGACCUGCGCCGUAUUAGCUAGUUGGUAAGGUAACGGCUUACCAAGGCAACGAUACGUAGCCGACCUGAGAGGGUGAUCGGCCACACUGGAACUGAGACACGGUCCAGACUCCUACGGGAGGCAGCAGUAGGGAAUCUUCCGCAAUGGGCGAAAGCCUGACGGAGCAACGCCGCGUGAGUGAUGAAGGUCUUCGGAUCGUAAAACUCUGUUAUUAGGGAAGAACAAACGUGUAAGUAACUGUGCACGUCUUGACGGUACCUAAUCAGAAAGCCACGGCUAACUACGUG